GCCAGGCGUGGUGGCCCAUGCCUGUAGUCCCAGCUACUCGGGAGGCUGAGGCGGGAGAAUUGCUUGAAUCCGGGAGGCGGAGGUUGCAGUGAGCCGAGAUCGCACCACUGCACUCCAGCCUGGGUGACAGAGCGAGACCCCGUCUCAA
rnacentral:SRP_RNA from 1 species